rnacentral:rRNA from 1 species
UGCAAAGGUUUCCUCGGACCGGACGAAGAUUGGCCCUUGAGUGCAAAGGUAGAAGGGAGCUUGAUUGCAAGACCCACCCGUCAAGUAGGGACGAAAGUCAGCCUUUGU